rnacentral:rRNA from 1 species
GACGAACGCUGGCGGCGUGCCUAAUACAUGCAAGUCGAACGAACAGAUGGGAGCUUGCUCCCUGAUGUUAGUGGCGGACGGGUGAGUAACACGUGGGUAACCUGCCUGUAAGAUUGGGAUAACUUCGGGAAACCGAAGCUAAUACCGGAUAAUAUAUGAAACUGCAUGGUUUCAUAUUGAAAGAUGGCUUUUGCUAUCACUUACAGAUGGACCCGCGGCGCAUUAGCUAGUUGGUGAGGUAACGGCUCACCAAGGCGACGAUGCGUAGCCGACCUGAGAGGGUGAUCGGCCACACUGGGACUGAGACACGGCCCAGACUCCUACGGGAGGCAGCAGUAGGGAAUCUUCCGCAAUGGACGAAAGUCUGACGGAGCAACGCCGCGUGAGCGAAGAAGGCCUUCGGGUCGUAAAGCUCUGUUGUUAGGGAAGAACAAGUACCGGAGUAACUGUCGGUACCUUGACGGUACCUAACGAGAAAGCCACGGCUAACUACGUGCCAGCAGCCGCAGUAAUAC